rnacentral:rRNA from 1 species
UACGUAGGGGGCAAGCGUUGUCCGGAUUUAUUGGGCGUAAAGAGCGUGUAGGCGGCCAUGUAGGUCCGUUGUGAAAACUCGAGGCUCAACCUCGAGACGCCGAUGGAAACCAUAUGGCUAGAGUCCGGAAGAGGAGAGUGGAAUUCCUGGUGCAGCGGUGAAAUGCGCAGAUAUCAGGAAGAACACCCGUGGCUAAGGCGGCUCUCUAGUACGGUACUGACGCUGAGACGCGAAAGCGUGGGGAGCGAACAGG